rnacentral:rRNA from 1 species
UUUUCCUACGGGACGCAGCAGUGGGGAAUAUUGCACAAUGGGGGAAACCCUGAUGCAGCAACGCCGCGUGGGUGAAGGAGCGUUUCGGCGCGUAAAGCCCUGUCAGCGGGGAAGAAGAAAGACGGUACCCGACCAAGAAGCCCCGGCUAACUACGUGCCAGCAGCCGCGGUAAUACGUAGGGGGCAAGCGUUAUCCGGAUUUACUGGGUGUAAAGGGAGCGUAGACGGCGAUGCAAGUCUGAAGUGAAAGGCGGGGGCCCAACCCCCGGACUGCUUUGGAAACUGUAUGGCUGGAGUGCAGGAGG